rnacentral:misc_RNA from 1 species
AGCCAGCCAGCCAAAGCCGACCGUGCUGCUCGAGACGCCUCGGGCUCACCUAUCGGCGACCACGGCAGUCACUUACAGCGGGCCCACCCCAGCGGCGCCCAAUCGUUUCCCGCCCUCACCGCAACCUAAGUUACCGGCCGCCGGGACCACUGCACAGCGUCCUUGCUGUCGGGUUCCUCCUCCUCCUCCCCCUCGUCCGGGUCGGCCCCCGUCGCCGCCGCGGCCAGCGCCUCGUCUCCCCACGAUGCGGCUCUUCUCCCGGACUUGAACCUCCGCAUUCCCGCAAUGCCGCCCGGCUGCUGCUGCUGCUGCCGCCGCCGCCCGGCAUCGUCCUCCAGCGCCACCUUCUUCCUGGACGCGCCGCCGGGCACACGGGCGCAGCCGUCGCACCGGAACAUGGCGGCCACGCCGUACCACCACCCGCGCCGGCGCCGUCCGUGCCGCUCCCGGUCGGACAGGACCUUGCCAAUGCAGGACACCUUGGGCGACCGCGGCUCCACCUCGCCGCCGCCGCCGCCGCCGCCGCCCGCGCGCUUGCCGUGCAAGAUCCGGCCCUGCGACGGGCGGCGCCGGGUGAAGGUCGGGCGGAUCCUCGCCGGGAGGCCGAAGAACGUGGUGCCGGCCGCGGGGGGCGGCGGGGCGCCCGCGACGCGCGUGGAGUUGGACCGCGUCUUGGCCGCGACGGGGUUGGCCACGGCGGCGGCGGCCGCGAACUUGGGGUUGGUGCUGCCCUUGGUGGAGUCGUCCCGCUCGUAUAUCGGGUUCAGCUCCGAGAACGCCGCGUCGUCGCCGAUGGGGAUGGUUAUCGACUCGGGCGGCAAGUCCGGGUCCGGCGGCGGCGAGGCGUCCCCGCUGCCCCCCGCGAUGACCGUCUCGCACGACACCUUCCUGUCACCAGCGCCGGCGCCGGCGCCCGACACGCCGCACACCAGGCUCUCCAGGUCCACCUGGGGCAUCGCGCGCGCAGCUCGCUUCCUUGCAGAGGGGGGAGUGCAAGACUGA